rnacentral:tRNA from 1 species
GCCCCCAUCGUCUAGGGGCCUAGGACAUCGCCCUCUCACGGCGAAGACAGGGGUUCGAAUCCCCUUGGGGGUACCA